CGUCCAGGUAUAUGCACCCUGGAGCCCCCCGUCCCACCCAUUCGGGCACUUUCGUUGCCCUUUGUCCUUUGGGGGUCAGUUCAGAUACUGCAGGACUGGGCAAUGGCAGUCUGGCCCUCUGGACCUGGCUCUGUCUGAGGGAGAAUUUGUUUGUUUGAAAUCUGUUCAGGAGAAGAAAGAGAGGUGAAGUGGGGGUGGACCUCCAUCCCUUCCAGAAGUCCCCUGGGACACGUCUGAGCAGAUUGGCACGAUCCUAGCUAUAAGCCCAUGACCAAGACAAAAGGAGUGAACGAGUAUUUACUGUAAUAUAGCCUGGCCAAGGGUCUGACGGGGCUGCCUGGGGCUCUGGCCUCCCAUGGCCCAUCUCUGGGAGGAGGAGGACUCGUGGGGAACCUGGCGGAGGCUCACCACUCCCCCUGUGUGUGGGGAAGCAAGACCUACCCAGCUGGAAAAAGCCAGGCUUCUGUACGGAGAUGAUCCACAAAAAAUGGUGGAAAUGAUCCUUCGCGUUGUUUUUCACACCACUGCCCAAGCUGGACCCGUGUGCAGGCAUUGGUGAGUACAGGCUGACAGCCCAGGAACAGCCCUGGGUUCUAGACAAAGCCUGGGAGGAAGCGGGUUGCCUCCACCAGGAGGACUCGGCCGACACCCGCUCCCCUGGGAUGCCCUGAACGGCUCCACAUCACACGUCAUCCAGACGCAACACCCUCGUUCAUCUCCAAUCCCUGCUUCCCAGCUUGGAAGCUGCUAACCAGUCUCCCAGGCCAGACACAUCCCCCCUCAGCUGGUACUACUCCCAGAUCUUUCCAGACACCCACCUGGACGGCAGCUUUGGGGCUCAGCAGCCAGAC